rnacentral:rRNA from 1 species
CCUACGGGAGGCUGCGUGAAGUUCUGCUUGGGUGUCAACGUCUUUAACGGGCACACCUCGCCCUCAUUGAGCGGCGGCAGCAGGUUAUCCUUGCUGUCGUCGUCCUCGCUGGAGAAGCUUGCUGUGUAGCCCUUGAACACCAUAUGCGAACCGGUCGCGCGGAACGUACAGUCGCCCGCUUCGAUGUUUACCGCCAUUGUCUCGGAGAUGGACGGCGUCAUCUGGCUGGCUACGAAACGAGAGUAUAUCAGCUUGUAAAGCCGGUACUGGUCCUUGGACAACGUGCUCUUCAGCGAUUCGGGACUCAGCUCCAUGUGAGACGGGCGGAUCGCUUCGUGCGCGUCCUGCGCCUUUUGGGAUUUUUUAAAGUAGUUGGGCUUCUCGGGCAGAUAGUCCGGCCCGUAUUGCUGCACAAUGUGCGCGCGCACUGCGGUCAGCGCCUCGUCAGAUACCCCUGUAGUC